rnacentral:rRNA from 1 species
UACAGAGGGUGCGAGCGUUAAUCGGAAUUACUGGGCGUAAAGCGCGUGUAGGCGGCUUUGCAAGUCGGAUGUGAAAUCCCACGGCUCACCGUGGAAGUGCAUCCGAAACUGCAUCGCUGGAGUCUCGGAGAGGAAGGUGGAAUGCUUGGUGUAGAGGUGAAAUUCGUAGAUAUCAAGCAGAACACCUGCGGCGAAGGCGGCCUU